AGAAGUGGCCAGCUUGAACUAAACCUUCCAGAGCAAAAUCUUUUCAGUUGGUGUAAACUGAAGAGUGUGAGAGAGGUAAGGUUAGGGAAUAAGAGUAAAGGUGAGGCUUCAUCUUCAUUUUCAUUGGCAACAAUUGCCUCCACUCCACUCGCCGAUAUAUAUAGGUCCUCAAGUUGCACAAGAGCACUCGCCACAGAAACCGGAAAAAGGUUUAGCAAUUUGUUGCAUCCCCUUACUUGUAGUUUCCUUAAUUUGGAAAAUGAAUUUGCUGGAAGUUGGUCAAGACACAAUGCUCUUAUAUUAUCUAGUCCGUCUGUAUACAAGGACUCCAAGCCUGGGAGUGCAACCUGUGCAAUUGAUGAUCCCUUUGGUUAAUAAUAUAUACAUAUACAUUCCUAAUAAUUAGACACAUGUAAAUAGAAAAUAAGAGGUUAAAGGAGAAUAUAUCAGUAUAACAAAGCACAAAAUUUAAACUAGAUUGAAGAAGAUCAAGAAAGAGAAAAGAAAAGAAAAGAAAAGCAAAAGCCUCUAGAUUCUGAAAAUCCAAUGAAACUUAAAAAAAAAAAAAAAAAAACCUCCAAAUUUUCCUUUCGAAAUGAGGUAAUAAGAGGAUUUUUUUUUCUUUUUUCUUUGCCUCUCUUUCAAAUUUGAUUAACUUCUAUGGAAAACGGAUUUUUUUUUUUUAAACUUUUAUAUAAGAUACAAGUAAUACUUUAAAAAAAUUGUGAUAUCUAAAAAAAUUUUUGAAAAAUUAUUUUUAAAGAAAUAAGGUAAAUCUAUACUUUUUGUAUAAGAUGUUCUACCUUUAUAUACAAAUUUCUGAUUUUUUUUUUUUUUGUUUAAAGUGUACCCAAAUGGACACUAAACUAUCUAGUUUUUAAUUUUUACAACUUUGAAUUGGAUUUUAUGGUAAACUAAUUUACAAUAUAAUGCAUGGAUUAAUCUUAGAUUCCAUCUAUAAAUUUUUUUAAUUAUCUAAUAUAAGACAUUAUAUUAAUGGAUUGAAUUAAUAAUGUAAUUAUAAUUUAUUUGGCAACUUUCUUCCUUCAAAUAUAUAAAAUGAAAACAAAUUUUAAAAAAUAAAAAAAUGAAAAAAAUAAAAAAUAAAAAAAGCUUUUUUUUAUAGUUUUUCUAAGAUGAUUUUGUAGAGUACUGUUAGUUUAUAGUUUUAACUUUAUUUCAUUUUACUUUUAACUUUAUUUAUUGAGGUAUGUUCUUUUUUGAAACUCUUGUUUAGAUUUUAUGGAGAAUAUAAAUUUUAAGAAAAAAAUGAAAUUUAAAUAAGAUAAGAAUAAAGAAACGCAAAAGGUGGAUGAAUUUUUUUAAGGCAAAAGUUUGAUAAUUGACACUAUCAUGUAAGAGGUGAAAUUUUUAAAUACUCAAUAAAGGCUAGUGAAACUUAAAUUAAAAGCAUGACAUGUACCUUUUUGACCAAAAAGAGCGAUUAUUGAAUUUUGUUGUCAAGUUCACCUAUCAAACCUAUUUCUUGAAAUAGUAUCUCCAUUUUACCACAAUUGAGCACUAUCAAUUUUUUUAAAAGUGCCCAUCUUGAAGUAAACCUUCUGAAGCAAAAUCUUUGGAGUUGGUGUAAAGUAUUGAGUAUGAGAGAGGUUAGUCUAGGGAAUAUUGCAUAUUAAUUCAAAUAAAACAUCAACAUUUUUUUUUUGUUAAAUUCUAAAUGAACACCACUAUAAAUUAAUGCAAUUUUGUAUGCUCAAUUAAAUAAACUUGUUCUUAAGGCAUCACAUGAAGUAUUUAAGUCUAAUUAAUAUUAAUUAAAAAUGAUUAUAUUAAAAAAAUCCAAAGUAAUUUAUUUUUAUCAUAAGUCAAGUAGGAUAAUUUUAUAAAUAAUUGGUUUUAGUUUCUAGUAUUCUUGUACACAAUCGCUAUGUUUGUUGCACCUCCAAAAAAUCUACUACUUGUAAUUAAUUGUAUAUUAUUCUCCAUAUUCACAUCAGUUUAUCUAGUAUGAUUAAUUUAGCAACAAAAUAUAAGUUUACUUAAAAUCGCUUUAAAUUCCUAUGAUAUUAAUGUUUAAGAUUAAAACAAUGUAACAUUAGCUAAAAAGAUUAAGAUCUAUAAUGUAACAUAUAAAAUUUAGAAAAUUCAAGGAAGGGUAAACUCGCACCUGUUCUACCCAGAAGAGUGGCUCAAGUUCACAUUCCAAACUUAUUUGUUGAAAGAGUAUCUCCACUUUAUCACAAUCAAGCACUUCCAAUUUUUUCAAAAGUGGCCAGCUUGAACUAAACCUUCCAGAGCAAAAUCUUUUGAGUUGGUGUAAAUCACGGAGUGUGAGAGAGGUAAGGUUAGGGAAUAAAAAUAAAGGUGCUGCUUCAUCUUCAUUUUCAUUGGUAACAAUUGCCUCCACUUCACCCCCCGAUAUAUGUAGGUCCUCAAGUUGCAUAAGAGCACUUGCCAUAGAAAGCGGAAAAAGAUUUAGCAAUUUGUUGCAUUUACUUACUCGCAAUUUCCUUAAUUUGGAAAAUGAAUUUGCUGGAAGUUGGUCAGGCCACAAUGCUCUUAUAUUAUGUAGGUUGCAUACAAACAAGGACUCCAAGCUUGGGAAUGCAACCUGUGCAAUUGAUGAUCCCUUUGGUUAAUAAUAUAUACAUAUACAUUCCUAAUAAUUAGAUACAUGUAAAUAGAAAAUAAGAGGUUAAAGGAAAAUAUAUCAGUAUAACAAAGCACAAAAUUUAAACUAGAUUGAAGAAAAUCAAGAAAGAGAAAAGAAAAAGCCUCUAGAUUUUGAAGAUCCAAUGAAACUUAAAAAAAAAAAAAAAAAAAAACCUCCAAAUUUUCCUUUCGAAAUGAGGUAAUAAGAGGAUUUUUUUUUUUCUUUUUUCUUUGCCUCUGUUUCAAAUUUGAUUAACUUCUAUGGAAAACGUAUUUUAACUAGCUAUGGAAAACGGAUUUUUUUUUUUGAACUUUUAUAUAAGAUACAAGUAAUACUUAAAAAAAAUUGUGAUAUCUAAAAAAAUUUUUGAAAAAUUAUUUUUAAAGAAAUAAGGUAAAUCUAUACUUUUUGUAUAAGAUGUUCUACCUUUAUAUACAAAUUUCUGUUUUUUUUUUUUUAAAGUGUAUCCAAAUGGACACUAAACUAUCUAGUUUUUAAUAUUUACAACUUUGAAUUGGAUUUUAUGGUAAACUAAUUUACAAUAUAAUGCAUGGAUUCAUCUUAGAUUCCAUCUAUAAAUUUUUUUAAUUAUCUAAUAUAAGACAUUAUAUUAAUGGGUUGAAUUAAUAAUGUAAUUUUAAUUUAUUUGGCAACUUUCUUCCUUCAAAUAUAUAAAAUGCAAAUAAAUUUUAAAAAAUAAAAAAAGCUUUUUUUAUAGUUUCUCUAAGAUGAUUUUGUAGAGUACUGCUAGUUUAUAGUUUUAACUUUAUUUCAUUUUACUUUUAACUUUAUUUAUUGAGGUAUGUUCUUUUUUGAAUCUCUUGUUUAGAUUUUAUAGAGAAUAUAAAUUUUAAGAAAGAAAAUGAAAUUUAAAUAAGAUAAGAAUAAAGAAACGCAAAAGGUGGAUGAUUUUUUUUAAGGCAAAAGUUUGAUAAUUGGCACUAUCAUGUAACGGGUGAAAUUUUUAAAUACUCAACAAAGGCUAGUGAAAUUUAAAUUAAAAGCUUGACAUGUACCUUUUCGACCAAAAAGAGUGAUUGUCGAAUUUUGUUGUCAAGUUCACAUUUCAAACCUACUUCUUGAAAUAGUAUCUCCACUUCACAAUUGAGCACUAUCAAUUUUUUUAAAAGUGCCCAUCUUGAAGUAAACCUUCUGAAGCAAAAUCUUUGGAGUUGGUGUAAAGUAUUGAGUAUGAGAGAGGUUAGUCUAGGGAAUAUUGCAUAUUAAUUCAAAUAAAACAUCAACAUUUUUUUUUUGUUAAAUUCUAAAUGAACACCACUAUAAAUUAAUGCGAUUUUGUAUGCUCAAUUAAAUAAACUCGUUCUUAAGGCAUCACAUGAAGUAUUUAAGUCUAAUUAAUAUUAAUUAAAAAUGAUUAUAUUAAAAAAAUCCAAAGUAAUUUAUUUUUGUCAUAAGUCAAGUAGGAUAAUUUUAUAAAUAAUUGGUUUUAGUUUCUAGUAUUCUUGUACACAAUCGCUAUGUUUGUUGCACCUCCAAAAAAUCUACUACUUGUAAUUAAUUGUAUAUUAUUCUCCAUGUUCACAUCAGUUUAUGUAGUAUGAUUAAUUUAGCAACAAAAUAUAAGUUUAUUUAAAAUCGCUUUAAAUUCCUAUGAUAUUAAAGUUUACGAUUAAAACAUUGUAACAUUAGCUAAAAAGAUUAAGAUCUAUAAUGUAACAUAUAAAAUUUAGAAAAUUCAAGGAAGGGUAAACUCGCACCUGUUCUACCCAGAAGAGUGGCUCAAGUUCACAUUCCAAACCUAUUUGUUGAAAGAGUAUCUCCACUUUAUCACAAUUGUCCACUUCUAAUUUUUUAAGAAGUGACCAGCUUGAACUAAACCUUCCAGAGCAAAAUCUUUUGAGUUGGUGUAAAUAACGGAGUGUGAGAGAGGUAAGGUUAGGGAAUAAGAGUAAAGGUGCUGCUUCAUCUUCAUUUUCAUUGGCAACAAUUGCCUCCACUCCACUCCAGGAUAUCCAUAGGUCCUCAAGUUGCACAAGAGCACUCGCCACAGAAAGCGGAAAAAGAUUUAGCAAUUUGUUGCAUAGAAUUACUUCCAAUUUCCUUAAUUUGGAAAAUGAAUUUGCUGGAAGUUGGUCAGGCCGCAAUGCUCUUAUAUUAUCCAGUGUGC
rnacentral:lncRNA from 1 species